CUUCCCCAAAGGACAGAAAGAAUGAGAAAAAGACAGAGCACCAAAUGUUGUACUUGGUGUCUGUCCAGUGUCACAUUGAAAUGUCAUGAGCUACAUUUAGACUCACAUGCUUCACUGCUGAGUUGUUUGUGUUGACUUGAGAUUCUGUUCUUGGUAUUUGAAAAUUUGGGGAUUUUUGUGACCUAAGUCAACACUUUUACUGCAGAGUUAAAGUUCUACCAAGUGGUUGUUUACCAGGAGAAAAAUUAAGCUUAGUAAAACGGUUCAAUAAUCCGAGGUUCAACCAGCUUAUUCUGACUCUUCAUUUUUCAACACCCUCUUUAGACACACACAUCUAUCUAUCUAUCUAUCUAUCUAUCUAUCUAUCUAUCUAUCUAUCUAUCUAUCUAUCUAUCUAUCUAUCUAUCUAUCUAUCUAUCUAUCUAUCUAUCUAUCUAUCUGUAUAUAUACAAGAUCUCUAAUUUGAACCAUUGUCUGCUCUGUUUUUAAAGGAAAAGUUCAUUAACUUUGGAAAACAUUUAUGAAAUCCCCAAUUAUCUACUUUACAAACCUCUUAAAAAUCCCCUACAAUCAUAGUUAAAUAUUAUUGAAUAUGAUCAAAUUGAUUAUGAUCAUAAUCAACUACACAAGGUCAGGGGAGACCUUGCAUACUUCAGCCAGACAACACUAAACCUUAUCUUGAUAUAUCACAACAGCGCCGCUGUCCAGGUGUCAAACUAGCCUGCUAACAGUCCUGACUUAUCACCAUUUGAAAACAUUUGGUACAACAAGACACAAAAAAUUCAAUGAAGAGAACCCAAACAGUUGCACUUUGGGCUUUUUGAUUCCUGUGUGUGUACUCAGUGGGGUUGGAAGUUCAAAAACUUGAGUAAAGUCGGCCCCAACAUCCAAAAUUUGAACUUGUUAUACCAAAUCUUGCCAGCUGGUGAAGUUUAAGAUGUAAAAAAAUGAAAACACACCCUCUAUGCAGAUGACUUCAUACUCUACGUUUCUAUCCCCAAACAUAGAACUAUGUAAAAUCAACUGGGAACUUCUCAAGACCCACCAUUGCCUUCUUGAUGACAAAACAUUACCCCAAUUUCUGCCAUUUUCCUGCCAAUCAAAAUGAACUAAUCUCCAAUUCAUUUAUCCUGGAGCUUCUUUUUCAACAGAUAUAAACUUGGAGUCCAACACCUGUAGAUCCAAUAACAUUUCAAGUUGGAAAUGAUGUUGGGCUUCUUGGACUUGGAAGUAUGAUGAGGUACCUAUUGUCAACUUUAAAGAGACAAACAAUAGUUGGGUAUCUUGUUAUCAGGAAAGGCAUUCACACGAAAGAAACCAUCAGUGAUAUGACUCAAUUUAGACAGUAAACUAACCUCACGGUUUCACUUUGUAAGCUCUUUGUGAAUGAAUGCAAAAAUCCCCUACCCUGCAGAUGCGGACUGCUCUCAAAUUAUAUGAAAUGGGAUUGUCAACACGAAGUUGUCAUUGUGGCCAAGUCAUGGGACACUGGGAAUUUUCUCUAGUCAUGUCAAUAACUAUGGUGAUUGAUAUUCUUUCCCAGCACACAGAGAUUAACUGGAAACACCUCUGCAGCCAUCUGUUUCAGUCCCAACUCACCAGUUGAGAACGAGUUAAAUUUGCAUUUUUUCACUUUCCUUUAUAUAAAUGCAUUAGUUGCUUUUCUGUGUGCAAUAGCUUCCUAAAUCUGCUCCCCUUUUAUUCAUACGAACAGUCUUGCUGAGCUGGAAACUAAAAAAAAAAAAGGGCGUUGGAGUCACUUUUUCUUCCCUGCAGCAAAGUCUACAAAAAGGUCAUGAGCGGAAGCCUGAAGGCUUGAACUUUGUGUAUCUAAAUCUGGCUCAAAUGGUCAUGUCAAAUGUCUCAGACGCUCCAUCAUCUCUUACAUGUCUCCACAGAGGAUCAAUUCUACAUGAGACAAUUCUGGUAUUGUCUCAGAGCCAAAAACUGAGCUCAUGUGAAACUGGGGCCAGAUAGAUAAAACAUGAAAUCUUCCUGUCACUAAGUCAACCGGCUGCUUUUUGGUUCAGAAACGACACAAAGUUUGAUCAAACUGUUCAAUCCAACUGGAGUCUGGGUGUUAGGUCAUCUUCCUCGCAUCUGUCAGAGUGGUAGCAGACACUUCUCCCUCCACAGAACAAAUCAAUUUCUUGCUCAGCGAUAGAGAAUACACCCGUCCGGCAGACUGCGAGUUCCUCUCUGGCCUCCUCAGCGCUGAGACGUCAGAUACUCUGCCUUCAUCGGCGCUCAGUGCUCCUCUGCCGUGACUAAUGGAGGCUGGAUAAAGUUGCUCAGCGGCAGAUUAGCUCUAAUAUGAGGGAGAGCUGUACUGACAGAUUUGAUCCCCUCUGUGUACAGAAGCAAUCAGCAGCAAGUGCAGACACUCCAGGACCCCGCGUAGCUGAAAAUGGCCUUAUCACUCCAAAGACGCUUUGAUUCAAGCACGCACGAAAAUGCUCAUCCCAAGAAAGAAAACAAUUAGGAUUUUGGCUUAAAAAGGUGGACAUUUAUCUGCAGCUAUAGGAUUUCCCUCACUCUUUUAUCCUCCUGUUGAUUUAAAGGACUUCAAGUGGGUUGAUGGCGCAUAAUUCAGCUGGAAAAAUCAAUGUCUCUGGCGUUUGCUUUUUGCGUGGCAUGGACAAGCUCCACCACCCCAUUGAUUUUGUUCUAUUUUGGGCAUUAAGGUUCACUUCCAAUAUUGGCUGGUCAGAGCAGAGCAAUCCAUCUUGAGUCUAACACAGCCUCAAGCUGCUCCGCCACUACCUGAACAAGCUCCUGGAAUAGAGAUCUGCCACUAAUGUGUAAGUGUGUGUGUGUGUGUGUGUGUGUGUGUGUGUGUGUGUGUGUGAACAGCCUUGGCGCUCCUCAAUGGCUAGCAGAUGUAGCUGCCAACUGAGUCCAUUACUCAGUAGAGCUGAAUUAGACCACCGCUGUCCAGCUUCGCUCAUUUAUCUCGCUAAUGGGAAGGAGCUGAGAAGGUCUGGUGAUGCAGAGGCGGAUUUACAUGUAGAUAGAAAAGUAAAAGUGUUGGAGAGAUGCUACUCAAGUGUGUCCACACAAUCUAAAGAUUAAGUGUCUCUAUUUGGGAUACACAACAUACAUGACAACUACAGAUUGAGGUUGACUUUGAAGAGGGAUUAACUGGAGGCCAUGACAUUUCAAAAGUCAAGCAUAUUUGUGAGGCAUGAACUUAAUAAAACAAGAGCAAUCAAGUGUUGCUUUUGUCCUCUCAGAAUGUUCUUAUAAAAUCCACCUGCAUGCCAGCUAAAGCGCUGUGGCUUUUCUCAAUUUUUAUGCUUUAUUCAAGACACUCAAGAGACCAAUAGCCGCAAAUCCUCUUGUAGCCAUUCUUUCAAACACAAUGCGAGGACAAUCAUCCCUCUAAGGGCCUAAAUUCUUCUCCCAGAGUUUCAGCUUUCAACCCGUGGGACGAGAUUCAGUGUUCUUCAGAGGAUUCGCAAUAACAGGUCAUGUAAGAUGUGUCAAGGGGUCGGUCAACAUGUCGAUAUGUUGCUGCUGACAUGAGGACUUCCUGCAUCGUUCAGCUGUGAUAGGGAAUUACUGCUUUGUUUCUAUGGAGCAUUAUGUACAAUAUCGAUCCAGGAAAGAGUCCAAACUUAAGCCGUUCAGAUGACCUUUCUCUACAUGUCUGCUGGAGCAGCUGGUAGAUUAUGUAUUUGCAUUUAAAGGUACAGUGAGUAGAAAUGGGAAUAUUAAACAGCAGACUGUGUUCUAGUUUCUGUGCACAACCAGGUCAAUGCCAUUUGCACCAUGUCUGAUCUACUAAAUAGGGGUGGGAGAAAAAAACUAUACCGCACAGUAUCACGAUAUUUUGUCUGGUGAUAUAUUGUAUCGUCUUAUUUACCAAGUAUGGAUUUUUUCAAAUAAAUUGCUAAUAUGAGGUCAAAUCUAUAAUAAUGGAAAAAUAAAAUCCACUGUUUGUCCAGUAAAGUUGGCAGAGUUGACAUCAUA